rnacentral:lncRNA from 1 species
AGAGCCCCGAAGCGCUCUUUGACUUGAGCUGCUUUGCAUUCUCUCUGUCCUGCCAUCGAGAAAGUUCUGAGCGGCUCAGAAGUAAUACUGACACUAAAAUGAGAGAAUGGAGCUGGGCGCAGUGGUUCACGCCUGUAAUCCCUGCACUUUGGGAGGCCGAGGCAGGCAAAUCACCUGAGGUCAGGAGUUCCAGACCGGCUGGGCAACAUGGUGAAACCCUGUCUCUACUAAAAAUAUGAAAAAAAGUUAGCCAGGCGUCCGCGUGCCUGUAAUUCCAGCUACUCAGGAGACUGAGGCAGGAGAAUCGCUUGAACCUGGGAGGCAGAGGUUGCAGUGAGCCGAGAUCACGCCACUGCACUCCAGCCUGGGCGAUAAGAGUGAAACUCUGUCUCAAAAUAAAUAAAUAAAUAAAUAAAUAAAUAAUCUUAAAAAAAAUAAAAA